ensembl:ncRNA lncRNA:CR44668 long non-coding RNA:CR44668
GACUUUAUUCCGCUGAAAUAUGCCAGAGCACAGAGAGCCAUUAAACUGAUUAAUCUCAGCCAUUGACACCUCGAGGCUGUAAUUAAAGUGGCCCAAGCCGAAAGGAUUCCAUCAUAACUCGACAGCCAACGAUAUAAGCCGGGAAAAAAAUUCAACUUUCUAUUGAGCUGGCUGGCUGUCAGUAUCGGGCGGAAAUCGGUGUGCUCUACUAUAUAGACUGAACUGAAACAGAACGAGAACAUUGCCAUGUGGCAUGUGGCAGCGACACUGGCAUGGACAAAAAGUAAGUCCGACAAUUGGCAGUUUCGUAAAAUAACUUUGUUGCCGCUGCCAGUGGCCCAAAAUAGCCGACACAGCAUAUAUAACUAAUACUCCCAGUUGGCAGCUGACCACAGACCAGCCAUCCGACCAAACAUCCAACCGCCCAGCCACCCGAUCCAUUCGCCGAACCAAACCGAUGGACAAUAAAACAAAUCGAAUAGAACUUCAUUUUCUCC